rnacentral:rRNA from 1 species
UUCAUGAAGCCGGAAUUGCUAGUAAUGGCAGGUCAGCAUACUGCCGUGAAUACGUUCCCGGGCCCUUGUACACACCGCCCCGUCACACCAUGAGAGUUGGGAAUACCCGAAGCCUGUGAGCCAACAGUAACUGAGGCAGCAGUCGAAGGUAGAAUCAAUGAUUGGGGUGAAGUCGUAACAAGGUAUC